GGGACAGGUUGCUACUGUAUGCAGUCAUCUUUCACUAAGGACUAACAUCUGAAGUUAACCAUACUACUAUGCACAAUUGGAAAGAGAAGAUGAAACUCCCUAUAUUCCUGCUCCUGAUAGGACUAACGGUGGUGCAAGCAGCUAAUACAACUACAACAACAGCUCCUCCAACUACAACGACAGCUCCUCCAACUACAACAACAGCUCCUCCAACUACAACGACAACUACUCCAACUACAACGACAGCUCCUCCAACUACAACAACAACUACUCCAACUACAACAACAGCUCCACC